rnacentral:tRNA from 1 species
UUAUAACUGUGCAAUUCAGUUUAAUUUGAUAUUUAAAUUCUUACUUUUAUUAUAAUAGGUGUUUAUAAGAAAUAUC